GAUGAACGCUGGCGGCGUGCCUAAUACAUGCAAGUCGAGCGAACGGACGAGAAUCGUUGUGCGGUGGUGUUAGCGGCGGACGGGUGAGUAACACGUGAAUAACCUACCUAUAAGACUUGGCGAACUUCGGGAAGCCGUAGCUAUUACCGUAUAAUGAUUUUAGCAUCAUGGUUCAAGGGUAAAAGACUUUCGUUCUGUCACUGAUAGAUGGAUUCGCGCUGCAUUAGCUAGUUGGUAAGGUAACGGCGUACCAAGGCACCGAUGCAUAGCCGACCUGAGAGGGUGAUAGGGUACACUGGAACUGAGACACGGUCCAGCGUCCUACGGGAGGCAGCAGUAGGGAAGCUUCCGAAAUGGGCGAAAGCCUGAAGGAGCAACGCAGCGUGGGUGAUGAAGGUCUUCGGAUCGUCAAACUCUGUUAUUAGGGAAGACAAUAUGUGUAAGUAACUGUGGACAUCUUGACGGUACCUAAUAAGAAAGCCACGGCUAACUACGUG
rnacentral:rRNA from 1 species